GCAGGGUGUACAUGUGGCUGUAACUAGUAGGCUGGAAUUCUAUGAUCAGUUUCUAUAAAUUGACUGUUGGAAACUGAUUGUUGAAAAACUGCCUUGGUGAGUUAAACUGUGUCAUAUGGGAAACAAUGUAGCCAUAUGGUGGUCAGAACUAAGGCCUUGAUUACAACUGCUUUGGACAUCCCCUCCCCCCUGGCAUCUGAUUACCAACCCCCCUAUUCAUCCUCCAGAGCUAGAGUAGCCACGCCCCUAUUCUUCUUCCC